UUAAGAUUUUUAAAAGGGGAGUAGUUUGGCCAGCAGUUAUCAUGCUCCGAGCACCCGAUAAAUAACUGUCCACUAAACCGGGGAGGCCAGUGGCUUGGGCUGAGCUCCUGCACCAGCCGAACAGAGGACACCACCACGGGGUCCCCGGACGGACGGACGGCCGUGACUGGCUCAGGAGGGAAGCCUCCCCUGCUUUGGCCUCCGCCAGCAGAGUCACUUGGGGUCGCCGGCCACCUUCCCUCCUCCGUCCAUUCGCGCCCCCUCGGCCCUCCCGUCUGAGGCCAAACUCCUCUGCUCGGCGGCCAAGAACCGCAGACGGCAGCGACGGAGCGGGCGGGCCGCCUUCCCGCGGACUUCACGCGCUGUCCCCGUGGCCAUGACGGCCCGGAGCGCGGGGCGCUGAGGUCACCGCGGCAAGUGCCAGAGUCCCGACGAGUGACCUUGAGCAAGUCACGACACUCCCCCAGCGUCGGCCUCCCGCUGCGACGUCUGCGGGCCCCGCUGUCCGAGGGUGGACCCGAGAGGAUGGGAAGAACGGGGACCUGCCCCUGAGCUGCUGAGGAACUCUGGACAGGACAGGCAGCAGGAAAGGCACGGGGAGGGGAAGCCUCGGCCGUCUCUCAGGUUUGAUUGACCUUGUCGCUUCCUCAGCCUAAGACACUUUUUAAAAAUGAUACAAUAUGUGCUCAUUGUAAGGAAGUUGGAAAAAACUUUUUGCCAAGUAGAAAAGAGAGAAUUUCAAGUAUGUAAAACAUUCAGCAAACUACAGCUAACACCCACCAGCCACCACCUAGACGGCACCAAUCUUAAUAUUGAGCCGUAUUUUCUUGAAAUUUAAGUAAAAUAAUUGAUAUAACUGAAAGGAAAUUGGAGACUUUUCAAAAGAAGAAAGGAAACAAGUCCCACCCACGUGAUCCCAUCAGCCUUGACACAGCUCCUCAUCAGGAUCACAGACCCAGUGUAGACACCCAUCCUGUGCAAGUGUGUUGGCCACUGUCAGGCACUGCUGGGGCUUGGCUGUGUCUGCCGAGGACCUGGCCAGUCCUUCUGUAGGGAACGUGGAAGGCAGGCGCCCCUGCGGGGCCUCGGGGGACAGUUGCCCAGCCCAGGCGGCACUGACUGCUUCCUGCAUGUGUCUGUGGGCUUCUGUGGCUCUCUUCCCUCCAAGAUCACACAAGAUGGCCCAGCCCAGCCCCUGUCUAAACUCUGGCCACCUUAGGAACCUUGGCCACUCUGGGCACUGUCCAGCCACUAGCAGGUGUGAGCCAUCCUGCCAUGGCUCCUGCGCUGGACUUCCUGGGACCAUUCCCCAAUCAACGGAGCCACCUGACACUUAAGGUAGGUCUCCUCAGGAGCUGGAUGGCCCCUAAACCCAAGUAGCUUGCUGGCUUCCAUCAGACCAAAGCCACUGCCUCUGGUCCCGUGAUCUACCACUGAGCAGAGGCCAGGAUGCUGAGGUCACAGGCACGGGUCACUAAUCAGCAGCUGGGCGACUGUCCAAAGGAGAGAAGGCCUGACACCUGGGGAAGGUUCCUAGAUGCCCCCUCAGGUCUCAGAAACUCCUUUCCCAGGAAAGUAAGGAGGGCAGAGCGGCCCCCACCCGCCCACGCCAUGAUGUCAGGCCGGAGGCCAGGCUGGCCAUGAAGAUCGAGCUGCAGGCGGCCCCUCCUGGCCUGUCCACGGGGUGGGCGGCUGGGUCGCCUACAGGUCAGCAGAGCUGCAUCCUGCAGGGUGUGAGGGCACGGGCUGGCCACUCGCUGGCCUUUGGAAUCUGAAAAGAGUGAGGAGGGCUUACUUGGCUGUCUGUCCCGGGCUCAGCAGGAUGCUCGACGCUGCCCCACACACCUGCACACUGCGGUGACCCGACCCAGAGACAGCUUCCUCCUGCCUCAGUGCAGGGCUGAGGUCACCAGCCGGCUCCUCCAAGUUCAUGGUCCCUGAGCUACCUGGACACCUCCCGCUGACACCCGCCACCCUUCCUCCCAAGUCCCAGAUGGGCCACUGGUUCCUACAUACCUGCUCACCUGCCAGGGAGCUCUACUGCCACCACCUAGCACCACGGAGCAGGGCCCUGCCCAAAAUGACACUCCCUUGUGCCCAGGAGCAGUGGGAAGCCUGCCACUCACACCGUCGUCUGCUGUGCCCAUGCCUCCCCGGGCCUCCCCUGGCCGUGGCCACAGCCCAGGGUCACCUUCCAAGAACUGAGGGUCCUGCUUCUCAGUUCUGCCAUGUCUACUGCUGACAACCAUGAUGGCUGCAGAGUGUCCCCCGCGGCCAAGCCCUAUGCCAAGUGCUCAGCCUCAUGGAGAGCAGAGAGGGCCCAGGAAGCGCCUCCUGAGCAGGGGGGAACCAAGGCCCCUGAUCUCGGGAUGAGGCCCGGCCCCUGGCACAAGGGCCUCUGGCUCCAGGUCAGUUUGCAGGACCCAGGAAGUGAGACCUCCCCAGUCUGCCUGGCUCCACCCCUGAGACUGGCUGGGGAAGUGGGAGGACAGGGUCUCUGCCUCAACAGGCUCUGCCCUCCAGAGACCCUGCUGCCCUGCCCCUCCUCAGCCCACAGUCCUCCUCUCCCUGCUGCACCCCUCCCUGCCCUGAGGCCCCCAGAGCGCCUUCCCUACACCACCCAGUGCCCCCACUGCCCCGAUCUUCUCCCUGUCCCCUCCACCCAGGUGCCCUCCUCUGCUUUAUCGGGCUCUCUGCUCACCAUCAACACUGGGCUCCAACGGACUCUCCUGGGGAGAAGGCUGAGCAGGCGGGCCUGGGGCACGGGGACUGCUGGGGGACUCAGGGCAUCCCACGGGACACGGCCCCGCACCCAGGGUGAGCUCCUUGCUACCAAUCUGGCAUCUCAUAGGCAUUUCUGGAAGGCCAUCUGGCCCCCAAGCCCCAGCCAAGCCACUUACCUGGAAGAGGGGAGCAGGCACGUCAUCAGGCGGGCACACACCUGGGAGGUGGCCCACUGCAGCCACUGGAUAAAAUCAUCUGGGCUAUUGGGAAGCCAGAUCAGCAGUCUGUAGGAACGAAGCCAAGACCACACACAUACACACACACACAGGUGUGCACAUGCGUGACACACAGAACUGCGCAGCCUUCCAGUGCGAAGCCAGAAUGAAAGCAGCCCAAAGCAGUUUCUCCUCUCGGCCCCUCGGGCCAGGCAGGCUGCCGACCGUCCCAGAGGUGGAUUCGGGAUUAGGUGGCAAAGACAGGAGUACCUAAAUCUAAAGCAAAGCCAGGCCACUUUGGGUCCUGGAGAGUCGGGGGACUUUGUGGAGAUGAAAAGGAAAAGCCUUGGCUGUCCAGGGCCCCGGGGCCCCACGGGAGGCAGCACCAGGGGCGCCCAUGGGGGGCUGGUCAGCCCCCCACCGACACAAAGAGGACCCCCCAGGGCUGUGAUAGACACCCAAACACAGACCACAACCCAGGACAAGGGCCGUGAGGGUCGGGUGGUCGAUUCUGGAGGGCAGUGGCAGAAUCCGGGGGCUGCCAGGGACUCUGCGGGAGGACUGGACUUCAGAAGAUGGGCUGGAGGACCUGCGGGCUAGCUGGCCAGGAAGAAGGGGAGCACUGAGCUGAGCCUCGGCCCAAUAAAACAGGAUGCAGCAGGAAGACAGGGAGCCCGGGCGUCAGCCACUGCCCGGGAGCUCUGCGGGGCGACAAGCACACUCCUCCCAGGAGGAGACCCCGAGGGGAGCCACAGUCUCAGCACAGAGCCUGAACCCAGCCCUGCAGACGUGGUGUCUACCUGGAGCAGCGGAUUCCCAGACAAUGCCCAGGACAAAGGUAUGAGAGAGAAAGAGGAGACAAACAGAAGAACUGGUCCAGGAAGAGAGAGAGAAGGGGCAAUUCAGAGGACAGCAAAUAUUCCAAGACAAUAUUACACCCAUAAAACAAGAACAGGGUGUUCUCCAAACGCAAGUCUUCUGAAGCAGUAGUCUUGGAUUUGUAUGGAAAUAACAAAUUUGGUUGGUGUUUAUUCAUGUCCUUUGAUUUUUUAAAAAUUUUUUUAGUUGUAGGUGGACACAAUACCUUUAUUUUCUAUUUAGGUGGUGCUGAGGAUCGAACCCAGCACCCCGCACGUGCUAGGCGAGCGCUCUGCUGCUGAGCCACAACCCCAGCCCUCCUUUGAUGUUUUGUAGCUGGAUAAAGUAACCUACUGUCAAUAAGUUAUAUGCAAUUUUGUGUUACUCUUCACACUGAAAUUGGAAUUCAAAUGUUUUUUUGGAAGGUAAAAAGGAGAGCCUGGUCUGUUUAAAGAUGACGUAAAACACGGAAGCAUUCUGCCACCUUUUCUACCAAAAAGUUAACAGCUCUCUUAGCCUUUGAUCCAUGUGUCAUAUGUAAUGUCCUGUCGUGUUAUUUGCCUGAGAUGAGGCCCUGCCUCCCACCUUACUCCCUGUUGGAGUGGCUCCAAAAUAGUCUAGGCUCAGCUCACUUAGAGUCAUGUUCAAAAGAAAGAAUUUUCUUGUAAAGAUUAUCAUGAUCUCAAAAUAAACAAAGGAUGUAAUACAUAAAACUAAGUAAAGGUUUAAGAUCAUUUUAAAAAUCAAGAACAGAACGUUCAGGAAGACAGAGAAGUGAGCGCCUAGACACUAAAUAUGCUUGUUGAGCUCAAAACUACAGAACAGGACUGGAAGAGAAGAUCUGAGGAAAUUCCAGAUCGGAGACUAACAGACAAAGAUGAAAUACAUGGGAAAGAGAAGGAGUCAGUAGACAGGAAUCCAACCCAGGAAGCCACAUGAAGGGGGAAAAGGAAUGGAGGAGAAAGGCUUGCUGGGGAGCAAGAGGUCAUUUCCCAGAGCUGGAGGGACAGACGGCUUUGACUGAGCAUGGGACAGUGAGUGUCCCCAGACAUGGCCUCGGGACGUUGCAGACCACGAGAGGUAGGAGGACAAUCCAAGCCCAGCAAGGCAGCCCACCUCUGUAACACUAGCCACUCAGAAGGUGGAGGCCGGAGGUCACAAGUUCAAGGCCAUCCUAGGCAACUUAGCAAGACCCUGUCUCAAAAUAAAUAAAUAAAAGGGC